GCCAAAAUAGCUCAAUCGGUAGAGCAACUGAUUUGUAAUCAGUAGGUUACGGGUUCGAUUCCUGUUUUUGGCACCA
rnacentral:tRNA from 1 species